UACGUAGGGUGCAAGCGUUGUCCGGAAUUAUUGGGCGUAAAGAGCUCGUAGGCGGUUUGUCGCGUCUGCUGUGAAAACUCGGGGCUUAACCCCGGGCCUGCAGUGGGUACGGGCAGACUAGAGUGCGGUAGGGGAGACUGGAAUUCCUGGUGUAGCGGUGAAAUGCGCAGAUAUCGAGAGGAACACCGGUGGCGAAGGCGGCCUUCUGGACAGUGACUGACGCUGAGACGCGAAAGCGUGGGGAGCAAACAGG
rnacentral:rRNA from 1 species